AUGGAACCUCAUUCCUCUGACACUUUAUGGCUUCAUGUCUAACAGCAAUGGUGAUAAGAUUAUAUAUUUUUAGAAAAACUUUCUAUAGACUCUUUGAUUACUGGAGAGAACAUGAUGAGUGUACUUGAUACAGAAGGUGAUCAGGCUCCUGAGAUCCAUGCCCCUGUCCUUAGUUACCCAGAUUAUCUGCGGAGAGCAGAAACAUGAACGAAUGAACACGGAGUUUGCUGUGGGGAGGGAGUACUAUGGGGAACAGAGGAUGUUGUCCAUGAAGAGAAGCACUGCUGGGCACAAACCUUGUCAAACCUUGUCAGACUUAGCACUGAAAGACCUGAGAUAGCUGAAAACAGAUUUCUGAUAGUUGAAGUUUUUGAAUGUAGCUUGGAUUUAGGAGACUGUGGGGAAGUUCAGGGCAGCAGAAGAAGUGUAAGGGGUUCGUUAUAUUCCAGUCAGCUUUGUAUGACACCUAAGGCUGGCUAGAAAUAUCCAGAUGUAGGAACCUUUGCUAAGUAGAAAGGUCAGGGCAGUGGUAAAAAGGAGUCUGAUUUUUAUGCUACAUAUUUUUAUAUCAACAUGACCUCGAUGACUUCACCAAGCAUAACCCACACAGACACAUAGGGAACCGAGUCUGGAACAUUGGAAAUUCUCCCAGAUAACCCAAUGGUAUUAAUAUGGGUGGGGCUUUUUUGACAAGCAUGGCUUCUGUUUUACCUCAAGAUUCAACCCUCCAUACUUUUAUCUCUUUACACAAAAUCUGGAUCUGGAGUGCUGUUUUGAAGCAUCUUUUUUUGUAUUUCACAAAGGAGAAAUCAGAUCACCAGGAACUUGAAUGGCCAAAGAAGAAGAAGACUUGCCACACACCUGACUGAGGACAACCACUCCAUGGACCACAGGCAGCAGAAAUCCCAGAGAAUAUUGAAGACGUCAAAACAGUGUUGGCAGACAUGAGGAAGCUGGUGAAUGAACUGUUCAAAGAAACGAAUCAAGCUUCUACAGGAAACAUCUCUGUCUGGAAAACAUUGGUAAGCUCCUUCCUCAAUGUGCAAAAGGUGAAUUACAAAUUUAUCAG
rnacentral:lncRNA from 1 species